rnacentral:sRNA from 1 species
AAUUUUCAUAUUCGAUUCCGCCAUGUUGUCUACCAUCACAGAUGACGGUGAAAUGAAUUAAAAAGGGAAUUAUCUGAUUCUGUACAGUACUACCGGUUGAUAAGGUUAAAAACUACGUUGUCAAUGGGGUAAUCGUCAAUGGAGUGUUUUAGUGUGUAAAAUCCACGGCGUACGGCUGAACAGAGGAAGAAUCUGAAUGAAUGAAUCGAGUGCCGACACCCCCUGCAUCUUCUGUAUGAGUACUUCAAGCCUGCCCUGAGUUGCACAGACCUGAAGAAAACCAUGAAAAGCUCGCUGAUUUUAUGAAUGAUGCAACAAAAAAAGUGAAGACGUAAUUUAAGUAAUGGAGAAGUUAUACAUGCUGAAGUCUGGUUGUGUCAAUUUGGAUAUUAUUGUGAUGUUCUGGUAGUCAGCUGUUUGUGUGGUUGUUUAUGUGUGAAAUCAGAGAGCAUGUGAGACACGAGACUGCACUGUCAAAAAAAGGACAUUUGGAAUGUUGGAGACCAAUGCUUCGAUCGAUUGUAAUGCAGCCAGUGUUCGUGCAGCACUUAUGAACUACUUUGUAUGGUUAAAUUGAACUUUGCCUACUGUGAACUGUGAUUUUUUUUCAAAGUCCGUCUGUGUGCUACAUUGCUUUGUGUGAUCAAACUGCAAUACAAGUUUCAACAUGCCAGCAUUUAUUAUUGGUAAACUUUCUAAAGAUUUAUGUAAAUGUAAUGUUAAACAAUGUAUGAAAUUGUAUUUUUAAAAUGACUGAUGUAAAUAUAUAUUGAUGAUUUUAAUUUC